rnacentral:rRNA from 1 species
CCAGACUCCUACGGGAGGCAGCAGUGGGGAAUAUUGCACAAUGGGCGAAAGCCUGAUGCAGCAACGCCGCGCGAAGGAAGAAGGGUUUCGACUCGUAAACUUCUAUCAACAGGGACGAAAGAAAAUGACGGUACCUGACUAAGAAGCCCCGGCUAACUACGUGCCAGCAGCCGCGGUAAUACGUAGGGGGCAAGCGUUAUCCGGAUUUACUGGGUGUAAAGGGAGCGUAGACGGCAGUGCAAGUCCGGAGUGAAAGCCCGGGGCUCAACCCUGGGACUGCUCUGGAAACUGUAAAGCUGGAGUGCGGGAGGGGCAGGCGGAAUUCCUGGUGUAGCGGUGAAAUGCGUAGAUAUCAGGAGGAACAUCAGUGGCGAAGGCGACUAUCUGGCACAUAACUGACGCUGAGGAGCGAAAGCGUGGGUAGCAAACAGGAUUAGAUACCCGAGUAC